rnacentral:rRNA from 1 species
CACACCGCCCGUCACACCACGAAAGUCAAUUGCACCAGAAGUCGCUGUGCUAACCGUAAGGGGGCAGGCGCCCAAGGUGCGGUCGAUGAUUGGGGUG